UGCGCAGGCGGUUCGGAAAGAAAGAUGUGAAAUCCCAGAGCUUAACUUUGGAAUUGCAUUUUUAACUACCGGGCUAGAGUGUGUCAGAGGGAGGUGGAAUUCCGCGUGUAGCAGUGAAAUGCGUAGAUAUGCGGAGGAACACCGAUGGCGAAGGCAGCCUCCUGGGAUAACACUGACGCUCACGCACGAAAGCGUGGGGAGCAAACA
rnacentral:rRNA from 1 species